UACGUAGGGAGCAAGCGUUGUUCGGAUUUACUGGGCGUAAAGGGCGCGUAGGCGGCGCGGUAAGUCACUUGUGAAAUCUCUGAGCUUAACUCAGAACGGCCAAGUGAUACUGCAGUGCUAGAGUGCAGAAGGGGCAAUCGGAAUUCUUGGUGUAGCGGUGAAAUGCGUAGAUAUCAAGAGGAACACCUGAGGUGAAGACGGGUUGCUGGGCUGACACUGACGCUGAGUGCGCGAAAGCGUGGGGAGCGAACAGG
rnacentral:rRNA from 1 species